GUGAGCUGGAGCACGAAACGCUGCUACGGCAGAGGAAACUCCUCCCUCCUUACAGGAAAUGUGAUUUGGAGAUAAAUAAUCAGAGAUGAUUGGCAACGGAGCAGAAAAAAAAUCCAAUAUGGCGCACAGUGAUGGCAAAACCUGAGGUUUCCAUAAAAGGAAUGAAAAAAGCCGACCCACAUGGAGCAAGGCCAAACAGAACUCAAAGUGCCUGUACUAAGUUCAGGUAGGCUGCAAAGCGAAAUAUCGUGAAAACAGAAGGAGGGUUACUCCCAGCACAC
rnacentral:RNase_P_RNA from 2 species